rnacentral:rRNA from 1 species
AGGGCACCACCAGGAGUGGAGCCUGCGGCUUAAUUUGACUCAACACGGGAAAACUCACCCGGCCCGGACACUGGAAAGAUUGACAGAUUGAGAGCUCUUUCUUGAUUCAGUGGGUGGUGGUGCAUGGCCGUUCUUAGUUGGUGGAGUGAUUUGUCUGGUUAAUUCCGAUAACGAACGAGACUCUAGCCUACUAAAUAGAUCGUCGGCUUACAAACGCCGGCGAGACUUCUUAGAGGGACAGGCGGUGAUUCAACCGCACGAAACAGAGCAAUAACAGGUCUGUGAUGCCCUUAGAUGUCCGGGGCCGCACGCGCGCUACACUGAAGUGAUCAGCGUGCUUUUUCAACCUACUCUGUCAAGAGUGGGGAACCCAAUGAACCUUCUUCGUGAUUGGGAUAGGGGAUUGUAAUUGUUCCCCUUGAACGAGGAAUUCCCAGUAAGCGCGAGUCAUAAGCUCGCGUUGAUUACGUCCCUGCCCUUUGUACACACCGCCCGUCGCUACUACCGAUUGAAUGUUUU